UCCGGGGAUAACAGGCUGAUACCGCCCAAGAGUUCAUAUCGACGGCGGUGUUUGGCACCUCGAUGUCGGCUCAUCACAUCCUGGGGCUGAAGUAGGUCCCAAGGGUAUGGCUGUUCGCCAUUUAAAGUGGUACGCGAGCUGGGUUUAGAACGUCGUGAGACAGUUCGGUCCCUAUCUGCCGUGGGCGCUGGAGAACUGAGGGGGGCUGCUCCUAGUACGAGAGGACCGGAGUGGACGCAUCACUGGUGUUCGGGUUGUCAUGCCAAUGGCACUGCCCGGUAGCUAAAUGCGGAAGAGAUAAGUGCUGAAAGCAUCUAAGCACGAAACUUGCCCCGAGAUGAGUUCUCCCUGAGACUUUAGGUCUCCUGAAGGAACGUUGAAGACGACGACGUUGAUAGGCCGGGUGUGUAAGCGCAGCGAUGCGUUGAGCUAACCGGUACUAAUGAACCGUGAGGCUUAACCUUACAACGCCGAAG
rnacentral:rRNA from 1 species